UGCAGUCUACGGGAAAGGGGUAGCAAUAUCCCGAGUAUAGUGGCGCACGGGUGAGUAACACGUAGGCAAUUUGCCUUUAGGACGGGGACAACUCCGCGAAAGCGGAGCUAAUACCCGAUAAUGCAGCGGCACCGCAUGGUGAUGUUGUUAAAGGUCCGCAAGGGCGCCUAGAGAUGAGCCUGCGUCCCAUUAGGUAGUUGGUGAGGUAACGGCCCACCAAGCCUGCGAUGGGUAGCUGGUCUGAGAGGAUGAUCAGCCACACUGGAACUGAGACACGGUCCAGACUCCUACGGGAGGCAGCAGUGAGGAAUAUUGCGCAAUGGCCGAAAGGCUGACGCAGCGACGCCGCGUGAAGGAUGAAGUCCGUUAGGAUGUAAACUUCUUUUGCAGGGGAUGAAUGUGGAGUUUUUCUCCAUUGACCGUACCCUGCGAAUAAGGAUCGGCUAACUACGUGCCAGCAGCCGCGGUAAUACGUAGGAUCCGAGCGUUGUCCGGAAUUACUGGGUGUAAAGGGCGUGUAGGUGGGUUCCUAAGUCGGUGGUGAAAUCUUGCAGCUUAACUGCAAAAUUGCCGUCGAUACUGGGGAUCUUGAGUACGGCAGAG
rnacentral:rRNA from 1 species